GGCUGUGUUCCUGUCUUGGCGGUUGUUUGACCUGAAGCAUCCAGCGUUGGAACUUGCAGGCAUUUGGGUGGAGCCAGGUCUUGGUGUUGAGGCUUGUUGAAGGCAACAAGAUGGGAGAGGGAGAGAUUUCAUGCAGUGUGUGAUAUAGAAGAGUGGUGUGAAACAGUUUGGGAGCCCACGGCAAGAUUUCGGAAGGAAUAACUGUGUUGAAUUCCUGGGGAGAUUAGACUCUGAGCCCAUCUGAACUGGAGACCCCAUCCUCAGCAAAGAUCUCUUCAUCUUAAUCACGGUAGAAAAGUUAAAAGUUUCCAGAUUUUAAGAGUGCACUUUAGAUCUAGACAAUGAGGAUUCCAGUAAGGAAUGUGAUAUGAAAAUCAGAGAAUAUUCCCAUAUUUGGAGGGAUUACAUAAAUUUCAUGGAUUAUGGUGAAACCAUAGAAGAAACAACCAGUAAAGACUGAGUUAAAGAAUGAAAUUCAGAUUUAAUAUGAUUUAAAGACAAUAAAUAUGAUUAACUGUUGCAUAA